rnacentral:ncRNA from 1 species
GGGCACCUACGGGGGCCUACAACCACAUAGGCGGGGCCAAAGAGGCCUGCGUCGUUUGCUAAACGGAAGACAGACA